AUAUUACUCAGCGGAGGAAAAGAAACUAACUAAGAUUGCCCCAGUAACUGCGAGUGAAGAGGCAAGAGCUCAAAGUUAAAAUCGUAGCGGCACUAGCUGCACGAAUUGUAACCUCAAGGGGUGGACAUAAGUUGGACCGAUACACAAGUUCCGAGGAUUCGGACGCCAUAGAGGGUGAAAGCCCCGUACACGGUAUCAGUCUGACGAACGGAAACCUUCUCAGAGUCGGGUUGUUUGGUAAUGCAGCCCUAAAUGGGAGAUAAACAUCUUCUAAAGCUAAAUAUGAAUGGGAGACCGAUAGCGCACAAGUA
rnacentral:rRNA from 1 species